ACGACUCUCCUUCCCCUAUUUUCUAGGUCAGCAAAGCAAAAAAAGAAUCGCGAUCUCAGAAGCCUAGCCAUCCUCGGCGGCGACCGUCUUCUCUACCGAUAUGAUGGCAGUUCUUCAUCGUCUAUAGCUCCCAGGCGGCGUUCUUAGAAGCCUAGACCAUGGCAUGACGCCUUCUACCAGCACUCCUCCAUUGCUACAUGCCUAGACACAAUCAUCCUCAGGACAGGAACGGAGCACCAAUUGCAAUGACCCUCAGGUUAGAUCUUACAAACUGCCAUGUCAAGUCAGUCAUCUAUGCCCUCUCCUCACCUCAUCUUUCUGAUGUGUUCUGCUACAAAUUUGUGCAUAUAACUCCAUGGCUCUCUCCAUACCAGGUCGCCACGUCCAGAUUUACUAAUGUUUCUUCUUGCAUCACGUGGAGAUGGAACUGUCAAAAGCAAGCAUUAUCUAGAUCAAUUCGUUUUCAUCCUAUUAUACUUGGAUCUGAUUUCUAUUUCUCAUGUCUAUUCAUAAUAAAACGUCAAUGAUUUUGGUCCCCUUUUCAGGGUUUCUUUCUCAGAUUGCACUUCUCCUCAUAAUAUAUGAGUUAUGAUGUUCUAUGCAUCAAUCUAACAUAAUAUUACAAUCCCUUCACCGUUAGGUUUAAAAUAUGUAUGAUUGCUUUGCUGCGAGGACUGUUCGGGUUGUGUCUUGGCCUUGAAUUUGAUGAACGAUAAUCAGUUCUUUGGUGAGACGCCCAGUUGUAGGUGGUUGAAGGAUAUAUCAUAAAGCAUCGACUGGAUGUUCAUGGUGUCCAAUAUUUUCAGAUCAUGUGAUACAUAGCCAAGAACAGAAUAGUUAGCAGAAUACCAGUCCAAAUUGAGAAGAUUUUUCGUUGGGCAUCAUACUGCCAAACAUUCAUAAAGUUAUGCCAUGAGAUGUGAGUUAGCAUCAACCUCCCCGUUGCUUCUAUAAAACUAAAAACUUCUCUGCUGCUUCUCAUCUCAUGUGAAAGGCAUAUGCCAGUACACAACAAUGUCUCCCAGUGAAUGUACGGAUAGCAUACAUGUGAAUCUUCUUACAAUUUAAUCUUGACGUUUUCGAAUGAUUGUCUAUUCUGCUUCUGAUCGUGAUGAUGUACAAAACAGUGUGCAAAGUGCGCGCACUAGGGACAGAAUAUCUUAAUGUAACAAAUAAACAGGAAUACUGCUACUUCAUCCAGCAACAGGGGUAGCAUACUCAAUGCUGACUGUACUAGCUCCUUUUGUAUGCUUUUGACGUUACGUUACUAAUUAAUUCUACUCUCAUCCUCUGUUAUAUAGAGGUAAUGAAUUGGCAUAAGAGUUAUAAUAUUGUUAGGCGCAAGAUUAAGGUGUGAAUAUGAUUUUUGUAGGCCAGCAUGUAAAUAUGUUCUAUAUAGUUAUAUCGGAAUCGUUUGGUUAUUCAUCGGGUUCUACAGUUUAUCGGGUUUUUAUUCAUAGUUAUGCCUGAAUCAUUUGUUUUUAUUCAACGUGUUUUAUAGUUAAUCAGGUUUCCAUAGUUUUAUUUUGUCUGAAUCAGCAUGAUCUAAUAAGGAAACCCAUAAUAGUCUGCCAUGAGAAAUGCUAGAUAUCACAAAAACUCAUUUUAGUACAGUUAAUAUCUGCUUCUCCUUGUAUAGGUACCAAUAUCAGAAGUUGAAAUGUGAAACGCUCACAAAGAACUCUCCUGCCAGCAAAGAUGACAUCUUAGCAUAAAAACAGUGAUAACCUCAACACAAUUUAGUGUGGUGAUGACAUGUCCGUGUCCAUUGAUAUAUAUGGCUGAUACUCACGAGAGUUAAUAUAUCUCGUCCUCAUUAUAUAUGUACCAAUGUGUCUAUAGUUUUAAAUAGAUGAAGUUCACGAACAUGUUACUUCAUACAGACCUCAUGGCGAUUUAGAAUAUAAUAUUCUUAUGGUGUGUUUGGUUGUUAUUUUCUGAAAAUUGGUAGCAUUAUCUAUCAUAUCUUUCUCUUGCUCUCCACAAUAUUUAUGUGGUUGAUUGUUUGACUAAAGUAUUGUUAAAAGAAAAAAAUUGAUUAAGGUGGGGCCUGUCUUUCGUUCCAAAUAGUAUAACAUGGUAUGUUCCGGUGAAUGGAUAAGGAAAUAAUAGAAGCAAAAAUAGAGAUCCGCAUAGAUAAGCAAAACUUCUGAAUUUAUAUUUGAUCUCAUAGCCGCUUAUUCUCUUGAUAUAUGUAUAUUCGAG
rnacentral:lncRNA from 1 species